GCGGGUAUGGUUUAAUGGUAAAAUGUCUCCUUGCCAUGGAGAAGACGCGGGUUCGAUUCCUGCUAUCCGCA
rnacentral:tRNA from 2 species